rnacentral:rRNA from 1 species
CUCGAACUCCGAACGGGGCAAGGAGCCGGGGUCGCCCGAUCGGACCCCGGACGUGAAGUCGACGAUGGUCGGUGGGCUGGUUUUGGUAAGCAGAACGGGCGAUUCGGGAUGAACCGGAAGCGGGGAGAAAGGGCCCGAGAUUGCGUCGACGCGGAUCCCGAAAAGGGCGUCGAUCCGUCGCGACAGCGGGACGGUGGUCAUGGAAGUCGAAAUCCGCUAAGAAGCGUGUAAAAACGUACCCGCCCAACGGAUCGGCCCCGAAAAUUGAUGGCGCUCGAACGCAACCCUCGAACCCCGCCGACGGAGGCUAGGGGAGGCCCCGUCGAGUAGGCGGACGCGCGGGUCGCUUCGACGCUCUCGCGCGAGCGGGGGCGGAGCGGCCCGUGGUGCAGAUCUUGGUGGUAGUAGCGAUCAC